AGUGAAGUUGCUGGGACAUAUGGUUUCCUUUUGUUUAUCUUUUUGAGGAAUUUCCAGACUGUUUUCAAUAUGAAUGCACCAUUUGACAUUUCAAACAGCACU
rnacentral:pre_miRNA from 1 species